rnacentral:rRNA from 1 species
CAAUAGCGUAUAUUUAAGUUGUUGCAGUUAAAAAGCUCGUAGUUGGAUUUCGGGUGGGACGCAGCGGUCUCGCAUUGCGUUUGUACUGCUGCAGCCCUCCUUCUUGCCGGGGGCGGCCUCUCGGACUUCACUGUCUGGGGGUCAGAAUCGGCGAUGUUACUUUGAGUAAAUUAGAGUGUUCAAAGCAAGCUUACGCUCUGAAUAUAAUAGCAUGGGAUAACACGACAGGACUCUGGCCUAUCGUGUUGGUCUAUAGGACCAGAGUAAUGAUUAAGAGGGACGGUCGGGGGCAUUCGUAUUCCGUUGUCAGAGGUGAAAUUCUUGGAUUUACGGAAGACGAACAUCUGCGAAAGCAUUUGCCAAGGAUGUUUNCAUUGA